rnacentral:tRNA from 1 species
CACUAAGAAGCUAAAAUAGCGUUAACCUUUUAAGUUAAAGAUUGGGAAUUAUAAAACCCCUUAGUGG